GUAGAUUUACAUAAAUUGAAAUAGAAAGAGUAUCUAUAUUCUAUCUAUAUAUAAUAGGAGAGGCAAAACAAGAAUAUGAUGACAAUUGUCAUGCCACAAAAAUAAAAAAUUAAAAAUAUAAAACAAAAGAAUAAAAAAUAAAAGAAUAAAGAAAAUGCACAAUAGUUAAAGAAAAACUACAAGAAGCAUAUUAGUCAGCAAAAUAAAAGUUAAAAAACCGCAACAAUUAAAAAAAAUGCAAGGGGCAAACCCCAUAUAUUGUCAGUUUCAACCGCAAGAACUUCUGCCAUUAUUUCUUUUGAACUAGAUAGAAAAGCACACAUUCAGUUUCAGAUUUUCUCCUAUUCCAUUCUGGGUUUUUAUCCUGACUGCAGGAUGAAGGGAAGAAUAAUGACGACGGAUAUCAGGAUUUAACAUCUCUCUUUCAUGCAAGUGUUCAACUAUCUUGGCAAGAGGGAAUAUGGAUAUCAUGAUUUCACACCUCUCUUUCAUGAAGAGUUCAGCUUCGUUGGUGAAAAAUAAAAAUAUGGAUAGUAGCUACUAGAUUGCUGCAAAUUGGUGAAUUUGGAACUUGAACGAGGAUGAUCAUGCUUGGCAUGCAAGGAGUGUACUAAAAACGUUGAAGAAAUUGAAAAUAAAUAUUUCUGUCCAAAAUGCAACAAUGGUUA